rnacentral:rRNA from 1 species
UACGUAGGCAGUAAGCGUUGUUCGGAGUUACUGGGCGUAAAGAGUGCGUAGGCGGUGCUCUAAGUUUGGUGUGAAAUCUCCCGGCUCAACUGGGAGGGUGCGCCGAAAACUGGAGUGCUUGAGUGUGGGAGAGGCAAGCGGAAUUCCCGGUGUAGCGGUGAAAUGCGCAGAUAUCGGGAAGAACACCCGUGGCGAAGGCGGCUCUCUGGGACGGUACUGACGCUGAGACGCGAAAGCGUGGGGAGCGAACGAGG